UGGGGAAUUUUGGACAAUGGGCGCAAGCCUGAUCCAGCAAUGCCGCGUGUGUGAAGAAGGCCUUCGGGUUGUAAAGCACUUUUGUCCGGAAAGAAAACCUCGUGGUUAAUACCCGUGGGGGAUGACGGUACCGGAAGAAUAAGCACCGGCUAACUACGUGCCAGCAGCCGCGGUAAUACGUAGGGUGCAAGCGUUAAUCGGAAUUACUGGGCGUAAAGCGUGCGCAGGCGGUUCGCUAAGACAGAUGUGAAAUCCCCGGGCUUAACCUGGGAACUGCAUUUGUGACUGGCGGGCUAGAGUAUGGCAGAGGGGGGUAGAAUUCCACGUGUAGCAGUGAAAUGCGUAGAGAUGUGGAGGAAUACCGAUGGCGAAGGCAGCCCCCUGGGCCAAUACUGACGCUCAUGCACGAAAGCGUGGGGAGCAAACAG
rnacentral:rRNA from 1 species